UCACAGCAGUGUGGGCGGCAUCAAAUGUUUGUUUACAGUAUAUCGCUGGUCACGCAUUUCGAACUUCAUUUUCCACAUAAACAAAGAACGAAAAAGAACUUCGUUUGAAGUAUACCGGGGCCUUUAGGAGUAACUGAAUUCACGGACACUCUGACACUUCAGCAAUUGAGUGAAGUAACCAGAACACAAUACCAGAGUCUAAAAAAAACCUUUUUCACUGAAAUUGGACAGUUGAAACAUGCUGUAGAUACUUCCACUUUGAAUGUGGAUACUGCAUCUGCAAAAAAAACAACAGAAAUAAAACAGCUUAUGAAUAAUCAGUUUUAACACUUUAGGAAGGAGUUUAAUAACUACUGCAUUGGUGACUAAAGAAUCGUCAUAUAGAGGUAUUGAAGGAUUUCAAUGCAGUCAUAGAACCAAUAGUUAAUACUCUGGAUCUCAUUCAAAAGGCCACUGAUCAAUGUACUCAACAAAUAAACACUUUUAUUGCUCAGACAAGUUCAAAUAGCAAUUUAGAGGAUUAACUCCACCAGUGCAUGCAACAUUUUAAUAAAUUAGCUCUGGAAGCUCUCAAGUCAUCACAGCAGAGUUCAGUGAAAGCAAAUGCUUCUGUGCAAACAAGUAUGUCACCAUCCCCUUCUGCUAUGGUGGAAACUCUGGUGGUGAAUACCAGAUUACAGUGACUCAAUUUAACAUUUCAUUAUGGACUUGGUGAUUCUGAGUUUAAUUCCACAAAUGAAUAUGUUACCGCUGAUGGUAGAGGACGUUUUUUGGGGAAACAGUCCAUUAAAAUCCAGUUUCCUUGCUUUGGUUGACUAGAAGACUGUGAUAAUCCUUUGAUCUUUCUGGAUGAUCUUUCUGAAAUGUUAUGAUUUCAUGGCUCUUCACCCUCUUUCAGAUGAAGAAUUAAUAGCAACCCUCAGGAGUGUGCUCCUGUUAUGAAGGGAGACUCAGGCAGGAGAUCCAACUGCAGCGUUUUAUUUAAGGUAAGCGUGGUCGUACAAGCAGGGUCAACCAGGAGCAAACAGGUACAGCAGAGGGUAGACAGAAUCGUAAUCCAGGUACAGGCAGAGGUCAGGGCUGCCAGAUAUCACUCACAGGUCGGUAUACAAAGCAAGGGUCAGGACAGGCAGGAACGGUAACAGCAAACAGGCAGACAGUAAACACAGGGGAACGCUCGGAAUUGCAACAACAGUUAACAAUACUUCGCGGUGAGGUGGUGUGUGUGGAAGUCCUUUAUAGUCCUGGUAAUGAGCUGCAGCUGGGUGUGGUGAUCAGUGUAGUGUGCUAGGCUGUAUGUGGCAACAGGCGAUUGGUGUGGAGUGAACAUGUGACUGACAGGGAGGAUUGUGGGAAGUGUAGUCUGGGAAUUGACAGGAGCAGACGGUGAUCGUGACAUAAUGCCCCCCUCCCGUCCUCGCGGCGUAAACGGGUGGGUGCAUUGGAGACCUGCAUGUAGACAGGAACGGGGUCCCCAAUGCAGGUCCAGGAACUCGGGCAGCCACGGAGGGUCAGGUGCCACAGAUGGCCAUGGCAGGUGUGGUGCCAUGGGCAGCCAUGGCGGGUCAGGUGCCAUGGGCAGCCAUGGCGGGUCAGGUGCCACGGGCGGCCACGGCGGGUCAGGAGUCUCUGGCGGCCACGGCGGGUCCGAUGGCUCAGGCAACCACGGCGGGUCAGGUGGUUCGGGCAGCCACGGCAGGUCAGGUGGCUCGGGCAGCCACGGCAGGUCAGGUGGCUUGGGCAGCCACGGCAGGUCAGGAGACUCGGGCAGUUCGGAGGCCGCUGAUGACCACGGCCGUGCAGGGCUCCCACCCACAAGCUCCCCACCCUUAGGUAUACUUCUUGGGGAAGUUCUUGGGGAAUUCAACGGGAGCCGUGGUGGGUUCAUGGGCAAGGAGCUCGGGCGGCGCUGGCAGAGCAAGGUGCUUGGGCGGCGUUGGCAGAGCAAGGCGCUUGGGCGGCGCUGGCAGAGCAAGGAGUUCAGGUGGUGCCGGCAGGGUAAUGAGCUCAGGUGGCGCCGGCAGGGUAAGGAUACUGGGCGGUGCUGACAGGGCUAGGAGCUUGGGCGGCACGGAAGAGACCUCUGGCGUGGUCUCCGGGCCCACAGCGGGCUCUGGGAAGGCCUCCGAGCCCUGAAAGAUGAAAGGAGUCUUCUUCCUCCCCCUCCUCCUCUUUCGUGCACGAGGCGGCGGCUCUGUGUUCACCUCCUCGGUGGACACUGCAGCGAGCUCAAGGGCUGAAGCGGACUCUGGAGCAGACUCAACGGCUGGAACGACCCCUACGUCCACAGACACCGAAGGGGCAGCCAUCUUGCCCGUGGGCACUGGCAAAGCAGCCAUCUUGUCCAUUGCGUCCAGGGCGCUUGAGUGCGUCGCAACUGGCGACCUUGAGUGCGUUGCAACCGGCGCACUUGAGAGCGUUGCAACUGACGAAAUUGAGAGCGUAGCAACCGGCAAGCUGGGGUGCGCAGCAGCCACCAGCCUUGAGUGCGAAGCGACCGGCUGGCUUGAGUGCGAAGCGGCCGGCUUGCUUGAGUGCAAAGCGGCCGGCUUGCUUGAGUGCAAAGCGGCCGGCUGGCUUGAGAGCGAAGCGGCCGGCUGGCUUGAGUGCGAAACGGCCGGCUGGCUUGAAAGCGAAGUGGCUGGUGGUUGCUUAGGAAUGCCAGCCGCUCGUACUGAAGUCAUCGGUGGAUCUGCCACACUGCAACGCAGUCCUCUCCGCUCCCUGGCUGAUCUAGAGACGGCAGCAGGUCGUUCUGGGACAGCAGCAGACUGCUUUGGGAAAACAGCGGGGACGUGACGUGACUCUGGGCGAUCAGCGGAGACAUGGCGUUGCUCUGGGCGAUCAGCGGAGACGUGACGUUGCUCUGGGCAGUCAGCGGAGACGUGACGUUGUGUUGUAGCAGCUGCCAUUUUGUGCACGCUGUCCGUAGCGGCCGCCAUUACGUGGCUCAAAGGGAUGUCGCAUUUCUCCGUGACCCCCACGGUGAAAGUCGAACCAACUGCGAGCAGUGCAAAGUCCAGGAAUUCCAUGAAUGAUCCUCGGGGACCAUUGGUAAGUUUUUAAUGGUUCAUUUAAUCCGUAACCAAAGAAGUCAAUGAGGGCAUAGUCCGGCAGAUCAGAUAAAUAGGCAACAUCCAGGAACUUCUGAAUAUGAUCCUCGAAGCUAGAGUUACCUUGGCGAAGGCCAACGAGACACCUUGCUGGGUCCAUGCUGAGGCUGAUAAUGCUCGUAGACGCUGCUGGAUCUUUGUAUGGCGAUGUAUUCUGUUAUGAAGGGAGACUCAGGCAGGAGAUCCAACUGCAGCGUUUUAUUUAAGGUAAGCGUGGUCGUACAAGCAGGGUCAACCAGGAGCAAACAGGUACAGCAGAGGGUAGACAGAAUCGUAAUCCAGGUACAGGCAGAGGUCAGGGCUGGCAGAUAUCACUCACAGGUCGGUAUACAAAGCAAGGGUCAGGACAGGCAGGAACGGUAACAGCAAACAGGCAGACAGUAAACACAGGGGAAUGCUCGGAAUUGCAACAACAGUUAACAAUACUUCGCGGUGAGGUGGUGUGUGUGGAAGUCCUUUAUAGUCCUGGUAAUGAGCUGCAGCUGGGUGUGGUGAUCAGUGUAGUGUGCUAGGCUGUAUGUGGCAACAGGUGAUUGGUGUGGAGUGAACAUGUGACUGACAGGGAGGAUUGUGGGAAGUGUAGUCCGGGAAUUGACAGGAGCAGACGGUGAUCGUGACAGCUCCAUGGAACAGACUGGUGGGAUGUUGCUCGACUUGAAACAACCACUUGGCAACAGGGACUGCUCUAGGCAUGGGCAGGGGUGGGCUGAGCCCACCAAACGUCUGCCUUGCUCACCCAAUCAGAAUUUAGGUACAGAUAGCGUAAAUUUUGUAUGAUUUGUGCAUUUAUGAAAAACAUUGAAGUUUGACGAAGGGCAGUAGAAUACCCAACCAAUAAAAGAAUAACAAGAAAAUUGCAGUAGGCUAUUUUUCUUUUCUUAGCUAAAAGAAUAAAGCGAGGCGCAUUAUGCACUCACGCGCCUCAGUGUGUAGCUGAAAAACAGGCUGAAAAUCACACAAGCCAAAAAGGAGCAGAAAAAUGUGUGUGCUAAUGUGCGAAUUACAGGGUGCUGUUGCUUAAAUCACUAUAUUAAUAUAUACAUUUAUAUCUCUGAUUGACUUUAAAGUGUCAUUUGGCCGCUGGCGCAUAAUAAAAUGGGUCAUAUGAGUUAAAAUUAAUUCAAGAACGUGUAUUUAUUGCAUGGAUGUAGCAAGAACAUAAUGUAAGUGUUUAAAAUGCUAAUGCAUUGUUUAUUUGAAACCUUGCACUCUUUUGCUUGCUUUUAAUUCUGUUAAACUGAAUGUACGAGGCAAACUGUCUGCUUAAAUAACACUGAAGUAAGAAUUCAUUGUUUAUCUUUCGACUAGUCACACAGAAAGCAUUUUUGUGGUUAAAAUUUUUUGGUUUUUGUGGACACCUUUUUUAAAAGUUGAACUUAUUUUAACUUAAGCGCUGCGUUUUUAGUACACCGUGUCAUACACAAGACGGUGCAAAGGAUGUGCGACAUGAGCGCAAAGGUCAAAAUCUGUCCACAGCGUGUUUAAACAAUGAAAAACAAUGGAAAAGUAGCACGAUGGAAUUGAUAAACAUGUUCUGUGUGAACGGCCCCAUUCUGCAUAAUUUAAGUUGUGUUCAUUACUAAAACAGUAGGAUUCCAACUCGUUUACUUUAUAAAUUGUCACUGGACAGUAGAAAAGUGAAAAUGGUAGCAUUUUAUGGAAAGUGAAAAUAAGAUAUAAACUUCCAUAUCAUGGAGAGGCAUGUUAUAAAAGUGUUCAGUUUAAACAGCCUAUCUAUCUAUCUAUCUAUCUAUCUAUCUAUCUAUUGAUCUAUCUAUCUAUCUUGUGUAUUAAAUUAAAAAUUAAAAAAAUGCCCACCCAGUAUAUCUGUCAGCCCACCCUUCUAUAGCUGCCAAGAACUGGGUCUGCUUGCCAGGAGUUUGAAUCCAAGUUUCUUUCUACUUUCUUGCCAGAAAGCUAGCAGAGAGUAAGAACAUGUGUAUAGCAGGAAGGUGAGGGCACACGAGUUUUUGCUUACAUGUACAGAGCUCUGUGCAAAUGUUGGAAGCCACAAAUUGAAGAGGAUGAAGUCAUUAAGCUGAUCUUGAAGAACAUCAAUCCUCAGAUGGCAAGUCAACUUCAAAGUAAUGGAGUUACUUCUGUUGAUGGUUUAGUCCGUCUUGGGCAACAGCUGGAAAAAGACAAGGAAAACCAGUUACAGUAUGAACAACGGAAAAAAACUUGGAAACUCAGAGUAACUAGUCCUGCUGUUGUUCAGUUUAAUAACCCAGUAAAGGCUCCAGUACCACAGGACUAUAAAACUCCCUUCUGUUGUUGGUGUAAGGGCCCCUCAUUCUCCAACUUCUUGUCCUCAGAGUGGUUUUGGUAAGAACAGAAACUAUAAAGGUCAGCAAAGUUCAAAUCCUGUUAAAGGUAACCAUGGUAACCAUUCUACUGUUAGCACUGUCAUUCAAAUGGAGUCUGUAUACUCACCUACUCAUCCUUUCUCUUCAUCUCUACCACAGCAGUUGAUUGUACCUGUAAACACUGACUCUUGGCAAGGCCAGGCUUUGCUCAUACCCUGGACUGAGGGUCCCUUUUAUCUGGCUGAUAGAGGAGCCCAUCAGCCAUUUCCCACCCUGGAUCUGAACAGUGGAUAUUGACAGGUUCGAAUGGAAGAGGACAGUCAAAAUAAAACUGCCUUCAUAUGCAGUCAGGGGCUAUUCCAUUUCAAGGUCAUGGCUUUUGGCCUCAAAAAUGCAUGGAGAGAAUCCUUGGAGAGCUACAGGGAAAGAACUGUUUUGUCUAUUUGGACGAUAUAACUCCACGAUCCACUCUCCAUCAGUGGAACAGCACUUCCAGGAAAUCCAGGCUGUUUUGGAUAAAUUGAAAGAGGCCCAACUGACUGUUAAUAUGAAGAAAACACAUUUCUUCCAUACCUCUCAGAAGUUUCUUGGCCACAUUGUGACUGCUACAGGAAUUAAAGCUGAUCCAGAAAAAAACUGAGCAGUUCAGAAUUUCCUGUGCCAAAGAACAUAAAGGAAGUCCAGAGAUUUUUAGGCAUGGCUGGUUGGUAUCAUAGGUUUGUAACACAAUUUGGACUUUGCAAUGUCAAGCUUCCUUUCAAGCUCAAACAGUUCUUUGUGUUCUACUUUAACAUCCUAAUAUGAAUCUACCACUCAUUGUGCACACUGAUGCAAGUGAAGUUGGCUUAGGCGCUGUCCUGGUUAAAGGGUCGACCGAUUGAUCGGCCGGCCAAGUAAUCAGGACGAUUUUUGGCAUAUUUAAAUUUAAUCUGCAUUGGCUGUUUGUGCUGCAAAUUAGGCAAAUUAAUAGGCAGGAGCAUCUGCAAGCAGCUGAGCGUUGUUGUGGAACACGUGACGCUGCCUCAAGGAGAUUGCCAUUCGACCGGCAUAACUCUGUGAUGUCCCCUUCUGCCUUCUAACUUUUUAUGGAGAACUACCUGGGAACUUCCCAAGAAAAUGAUGCUGACAUCUUUAGUCCAGACCCUAGUUACCUUUGUCUGGAUGACAUGGGUCACUCACAGCAAGAUGGCGACGGCAGCCAGGAGGCAUUAAGUAUACCUUGCGGAGCUCCUCCUGAAGACUCCCACGGCGAUUUAUUGGCCCUGUCCCAAAUGGCACACUUCUAUGCACUUUCGGGCUUGUGGAAUGGCUGCUGCAUGCGCGUGUCCGUUAAGUCCACGAGAAGGGUGCUCGCAAGCGCCCCUUUUGCAGCCGAUAUGCACCCUCAAUGUGCAGUUUUGCUGAGCCCACACUGGUGUGAGCAUCGCGACAGACUUCUUCCUGACAGUCAAAGUGGCGUUACGUCAUGAAAGUGCGGACUUGUAGACCGUGAGUGUUUAAGGUGUAAUUUGGGAUGCAGCCAUUGUUUUAUCCGUGGCAAAGUGUGCUUAUCAUUGGAGUGUUACAUCGCACUUCCUGGAUUUCGCAAAGGAAAGUAUCCCCGACAUUAUGUGACUAGCAGACAGUCGUUGAGAUGCUGCAUGGAAAACAGUAAUGCAAGUGUGGAGUUCCAAAACCUGAAUUGGACUGACAGAGUUGGAGCCUCCAGUCUUGUAUAUACCAAUGCCUAAAAAGUCCCAGAAAAUGUGUACCAAACUAUUAAAAAAAGGAGUUGUGAGUACAAUUUAGCCUGCUGUGGAUGACUGUUUGACUUAACUGUUGACUGUUUUGAUAGGGGGAAUUUAUUAUUAUUUUUUUUUUUCGCCUACUAUUUUGACAAUUUUAACUCUUUUUGCUGUUGUUUGGAAUAAUUGGUAACACUUUACAAUA